CAUUAGUAAUAUCAUUAAGUUUACCUUUCAGAGGAAAAAACUAGGAAAAUUCUCACACAUGCCAAAAGUACCAAACUAUUUUAUAGAAAUAGGAAAGGAAAAAAAAAGGGGGAUGUUUAAACUUUCUUUAAAAUACCCAAAUUGCCCCUUUUUGUGCGUUUGUGAUCACGGGUUCUUCAUCCUCAACAAUCGACUCCUUCUUCUUCUUCUUCGACUUCAAUUGGCUGCUUCUUCUUCUUCUCCGAUUGAAUUGAGAAAGAUCGACAAGAGUUUGAUUGGCCGCUUCUUCUUCUUCUUCUUCUUCUUCUUCUUCAAUUGGCUGCUUCUUCUUCUUCUCCGAUUGAAUUGAGAAAGAUCGACAAGAGUUUGAUUGGCCGCUAAAGAUUGACAAGAUUCUCAACGAGCAGUUCUUCAAUCUGUAAGUACUUUGAAAAUGAGAAGAAGCUUACCUUUCAAUGGAGAAGCAAGCCAAUUGAGAGGGAGAAUAUCUAAGCAGAGACGUGACGAACGAGAAUAGAGGGAGGCGAUGGACGUUGGAUUUGAGAGUGCAGCUGCAGAUGAAUAGAUGACGAAGAGAACAGAAGGAGGCGAUGGAUGAAGAUCUGAAAGGCGAACGAUAGACGAUGAUUUGAGAGGCGGACGAAUAGAGGGAGGCAACACACGGAUGAUUGAUUUUCUACGGUUUGAAGAAGAAAGGUAGAUCUGCAAUUAGGAAGCAAAUCUGGGGUUUUAAAAUCUAUCUCCCAACGUUUUCAUUAAUGUGUUGGAAUAUAGGUCCCACUCUUGAGAACUCUUGACGACAAUAAUAUAGCAUCGAGAGUUAUCAGUAACUCCCGACACGCCUUUUAUGUAGUCGAGAGAGAUGCUCUCUCCCGACGGUUGUUUUAGGCAUCGGGAGAGUAUUUUUUUUUGUAGUAACAUACAAAUGUUGUGUGUUAACUUCUCAAAUGUUGUUGCAGGUAACACCUUCAUCAAUAAGUCUCCCAAGUCGUCUUUUGAAAAAAUUUGUUGAAUAAUGAUGUUAAUACUUUAUGCUUUAUCAUCUUCAUAUAAUAACACUAUUGGCUA